rnacentral:rRNA from 1 species
AGAGUUUGAUCAUGGCUCAGGACGAACGCUGGCGGCGUGGCUAAGACAUGCAAGUCGCACGGUGUAGCAAUACACAGUGGCGAACGGGAGAGUAAUGAAUCGCUAACGUACCCCGGACUCUGGGAUAGCUGCCCGAAAGGGCAGGUAAUACCAGAUGAUAUAUUCCCUUGGCAUCUUGGGAAUCUCAAAGGUCCGCCGGUCUGGGAGCGGGCGAUUUCGUAUCAGCUAGUUGGUGAGGUAACGGCUCACCAAGGCGACGACGCGUAGCCGGACUGAGAGGUUGGCCGGCCUCAUUGGGACUGAGACACUGCCCAGACUCCUACGGGGGGCUGCAGUAACGAAUCUUCCGCAAUGCACGAAAGUGUGACGGAGCGACGCCGCGUGUGGGAUGAAGUCCUUCGGGAUGUAAACCACUGUCAGGGGUUAGAAAGUUCUGAUCAACCCCAGAGGAAGAGGCGGCUAACUCUGUGCCAGCAGCCGCGGUAAUACAGAGGCCUCGAGCGUUAGGCGGAAUCACUGGGCUUAAAGCGUGUGUAGGCGGAUUGCUAAGUACCUUGUGAAAUCCCACGGCUUAACCGUGGAACUGCUUGGUAUACUGGCUGUCUUGAGCCACUUAGGGGCGACCGGAACAAACGGUGGAGCGGUGAAAUGCGUAGAUAUCGUUUGGAACGCCAAAGGUGAAAACAGGUCGCUGGGAGUGUGCUGACGCUGAGACACGAAAGCCAGGGGAGCAAACGGGAUUAGAUACCCUAGUAGUCC